GAAGGAAGUCUACAAUCAUGGCAGUAACGUGAUUCUAACCUGCAGCAAUAAGACAUGGAACGAGACACUAUAUGUUAUCUGGAAAAUUGAACUGAAACGCAAAGCCUGCAGGAUUUCAUUUAGUAAUGAUGGCCAAAGUGUUGAUGACUGCAAUGAUGGAAAGUCUCUCAAAACCAAUUCAAUUGGUCAAUCAUACUUGAAUAUCCCAAACUUUUCAGCCAAUGAUGUUGGGGUUUACAAGUGCGAAACAAUUUACCUUGGAGGAAAUCAAUAUUAUAAUAUUAAAGUGGCUGUCAGAGCUCCUCCUCGUGUGUCUGCCUGGUUAGAGUAUAGGGGUAACAAGAUGGUGGCUGUUUGCAGAGCUGAGAGCGGGAAUCCUGCUGCCAACAUCAGCUGGAGUCCUGCAGGAAAUUAUUCAGUGACAAAGAAACAAGACCCAGAUGGAUUUGUAACGGUGGAAAGUCAGCUGGAACUCCCUGAGAACAUGGAUAGAGAGAACCUGACAUGUAUUAUCCAGCACCAGUUCUGGGAUCAGGAGGAAAUUUUGGUACCAGAACUCAGAAAAGGAGAUUAUUCGUUUAUGAAUUUGAUUCGUAUUAUGAUUGUUUUCCUCAUGAUUGUGUCAACAUUCAUAAUUUUUGCUUUUAAAAAAUGGAGAUGUCAACAAUGAGAAAGUUCACUCCUCAAUUAAUCAAUGGGAAGCCUGUUUUCUGGAUUGAAGAUUAAAAAAAAGAAGCAAAAGGUUUCCCCUGUGCUCAUUGAACUGCCCAUGCAUGCUUUCAAAAAUGCUGUUGUUUUGAUAUUUGGAAGCAUUUCCAUCAGUUUUCCUUAUUGUUUUAUCAUUUUCUUUGUGUUCUCAUUCGUCGAUUAUUAUGAUGAAAAAA